rnacentral:ncRNA from 1 species
CCAAUGGACCAAGCUACCCCAGGGGUACCAGUGCAAUCCCCUUCACGAGCCCAUAUUGGCAAGGGGGUUUACGACCUUGAUGUUGGAUUAGGACAUCCUAAUGGUGCAGCUGCUCUUAAGGGUUCAUUUGUUCAAUGAUUAAUAGUCCUCCAUGAUCUGAGUUCAGACCAGAGCAAUCCAGGUUGGU